rnacentral:rRNA from 1 species
CAGCCGCCGCGGUAAAACGAGGGGGGCAAGCGUUGUUCGGAAUUAUUGGGCGUAAAGGGUGCGUAGGCGGUUUGGCAAGUUUGGUGUGAAAUCUUCGGGCUCAACUCGAAGUCUGCAUCGAAAACUGCCGGGCUUGAGUAUGGGAGAGGUGAGUGGAAUUUCCGGUGUAGCGGUGAAAUGCGUAGAUAUCGGAAGGAACACCUGUGGCGAAAGCGGCUCACUGGACCAUAACUGACGCUGAUGCACGAAAGCUAGGGGAGCAAACAGGAUUAGAUACCCCUGUAGUCCCUGUCUCUUAUAC